CGUUGCCACGCCUGAGCCUCGUGAGGUAACUGGGGUAAAUAAAGAAGGCUUUGUCACCCCAUGUGUCAGGUCAAGCUGCUGCCUCUCCUUUCCUUCCACGUUGCUCUCAAGAGUAAAGGAGUCCAUGAUUCCUCUCAGCCCCAGAGAAAACCAAGACAGGGAGCAGCCUCUUUCUCAAAAUCCAGGUCCCCUUCCUGGAGCAGAGAGAAGCAGGAUAGCUUGGAAGGUCUUCACUUCUCCCGUGUGGGGUCAACGCAGAUGGAGAGGUUACAGCACUGUGCCAGGAGGACAGGCACACCUGACCAAACUCGACUUCCAUUUCAGGGGCUUUCAAAUUCUUUUGAUUGUGCUCCAAAAACGGAAAAAAUUUCUUUUUAAUUUUAAAAACUUGAGGUGAAAUUCACAUUACACA
rnacentral:lncRNA from 1 species